CCGCCCGGAAGCGGGCCCUGGCUUCCGCUUCCGGGGCGCGCCCCACGCAGGGCACCCCCUGCCCCUAACGGCUGCCUGGUCCCGCCUUCGGCGCCGGGCCUGCUCGUCAACGCGCUUGCGCCGUUAGGACUUGGUCCCAGAGGCUCCCUCGCUGGGAUCUGGACCCGGCGCUUUCGAAAGCCGGAGUCCUCGGAUUGAAGAAAAGCCCAGUUAUGUGUUGAUGAGGAUGUGGAGAAAUCGGACCAUUGCUGGUGGGCCCUAAAAUGGGGCAGCUCCUGGGCAGUCAGGCAGUUCCUCGAAAGGCUGGCAUUACCCAGCAAUUCUACUCCUAAGUGCCCCCCCCCGGCCCCCGCACCCCGCCGCCCCGCAGACACAGAGCAGUGCCUUACAAAGCGUGCUUCCUCCAAUCAUCUCACGGGAUUAUCAUGUGAAGAAGGUGCACAGGGAAGAAAGAACCGACCUGGGCCAAAAUGAAAUGAGAAGCCUCAUGAGUCCCACGUACCAAGUACUUGUUUACUGGCUCUCCUGCAGCAUUGUCCUUAAUCAUUUUUUAAAAAACGGGAUGGGGUAGGUAAAGGAAACCAUGGAGCCUUAAAUAUUGACUAGAAAAGCUUUCUGUAAAACACAACACACAUUAUUUCCAGAAUAAAUGCAUUCCAUAGAUACAA